GGGAAUGUGGCUUAAAGGUAGAGUGCUUGCCUAGCAUGCAUGAAUCCCUGAGUUCCAUUUCUCAGUACCA
rfam:Dipodomys ordii contig_90642, whole genome shotgun sequence.